AUGCAUGCAAAUGAGCCUGCUCUGGCACCCUGAGCACUGAGGUGUGCAGCUGGCAGUCACCGGCCCAGGCUGCGAGGAGACUUCCCUGGCUCCCAGAGCCCCGUGGAGUAGCUCAGAAAUCUUCCUCCCUUCCAGCCAGUGUCCCCAUAGAGUUGGGAUCCUUGUUUCCUGUCUACUAGGUGGAUUUUGAUAAAUGCCUCCCAAUGGGCUGGUAACCUGCUUGAAUGGUAGCUGUGGGCUUGACUCAGGCGAUGGUGCCUAGGUGGACCGUGCAGCAUGCUCAAGCUUUGGUAUCUCACAGACCCGAGGUUCAGGUCUUGGCCAUGUCACUUCCUCCUGGUGGACUGUGAGCUGAAUUUCCUACCUCAUAGGGUUGCUAUGAGCUCCACAUGCUGAGGCUGGUAUCUUUUGGUCAGGGUGACUGCUCAUCCCAGAUUCUUCCUUCUGCUGAGACUCUGUUCUUGUUCACCCUCUGAUAGGAGCUGAAGGGGUGAGAGGUGAGCAUCUGGCUCUAGUUGGGCCAGUCAGUUCUCUCUCUCAGGAAUAAGCAGGAUGUGCAGGGAUACUACUUCAGGUUCUGUGGGUCACUUACCUGGGGACGUCUAAACUCGAACUGUGAGUAUGUGUGUCUACACAUGUGUGUGUGUGUCUAUGUGUGGAAGGUAGGGGGUGAUGGUAACUUGCCCCCAAAACACAGGGCCGCAUGGGGACAGGAUGAGCAUUUUAGGUUGUAGUCCAUGCAACAACCCUGCUGAGCUCCUCACCACUCUGAAUACAGCCACCCUUAUGCCCUCUGUGACCUCUGCCUGGUUGUGAGUGUCUCAGAUGCUUUCUCUUCUUUUUGACCUAGCCCAGAACAUCUCCUACAGGCAGCCUUCCUGAAUUCCUCCAGAGAGGGCCAUUGGCUUCCUCCUAGCAGUAUUUUAGGGCUGGGAGGGUCCAGCUAUUUAGUACCUUAAUUACUAUGGUCAUUGAGUUUAUCCAUUUAAUUGUCUUUCUUCCCUAUCCUAGGGGGAGGUGCUCAUCUUAGUCAUCUGUGUAUUCACAGUUUCUCACACGAGGCCUGGAAUUGAGAUCUGUCUCCAAAGCUUACUGCUUCCCCAGGAGGAUGCUUCUCUGGUAUGUUUUUCCAUCUGAAUGUGUGUGAUUUUCUUUCAUCACCAUUCUCCACCUAUGGCAAGAAUUUCUCUGGGAUGUGAACCCAGGAGUGAGGUUCCUAGGUCACAGGCUACACUCUACUUCAUUGGAUGAAGAACUGCCAGAUCACUUCUGGAAUGGCUGCCCCGGUCUAAGCUCCCACCCACAGUUGCAUGAGAGUUUCUAUUUCCCUAAAUCCCCAAGCACACUGGGCAUUGUUCAAUUUUUAAAUUGCUGGUAGAUGUGCAGUAAAAUCUUGUUUUAAGUUUGAAUGUCUUUCGGAUUACUAAUGGGCUUGUAAUCAUACACUCAUUUGUCAUUUGAAUUUGAAUUCAGAUAAUUCCAGCUCCAAAGCCUGCAGUAUCACAAAGUGAUCAAUAAAGUGGCCUCUGGGGCCACAUUGCCAGGGUUCAA